UACGAAGGGUGCAAACGUUGCUCGGAAUUAUUGGGCGUAAAGCGCACGUAGGCGGCUUGCCAAGUCGGACGUGAAAUCCCUCAGCUCAACUGAGGACGUGCAUCCGAAACUGGCGAGCUUGAGUACUGAAGAGGAUCGCGGAAUUCCCGGUGUAGAGGUGAAAUUCGUAGAUAUCGGGAGGAACACCAGUGGCGAAGGCGGCGAUCUGGGCAGAUACUGACGCUGAGGUGCGAAAGCGUGGGGAG
rnacentral:rRNA from 1 species